AUUGAACGCUGGCGGCAUGCCUUACACAUGCAAGUCGAACGGCAGCACGGGAGCAAUCCUGGUGGCGAGUGGCGAACGGGUGAGUAAUAUAUCGGAACGUGCCCAGUCGUGGGGAUAACGUAGCGAAAGCUACGCUAAUACCGCAUACGAUCUAUGGAUGAAAGCGGGGGAUCGCAAGACCUCGCGCGAUUGGAGCGGCCGAUAUCAGAUUAGGUAGUUGGUGAGGUAAAGGCUCACCAAGCCGACGAUCUGUAGCUGGUCUGAGAGGACGACCAGCCACACUGGGACUGAGACACGGCCCAGACUCCUACGGGAGGCAGCAGUGGGGAAUUUUGGACAAUGGGCGCAAGCCUGAUCCAGCAAUGCCGCGUGCAGGAUGAAGGCCUUCGGGUUGUAACUGCUUUGUACGGAACGAAAGGUUAGUCUUAAUACGAUGAGCUCAUGACGGUACCGUAACGGAAUAAGACACCGGCUAACUACGUACG
rnacentral:rRNA from 1 species